ACUAAAAGACGGGUAACGUACCGUUAUUAGUAAAAAUAACCCGGCAAAUAUUUGGAUUUAAAUAAGAAAUCCUAAUAUUAAAUAAAAACGAAUCAAAGUUUUAAGUAAUUAAGUUUAUAAAAGGCCCGAUUUAACGGGACUUAAAGUAAAAGGGGUUACGACUUCCCGAACCUACUAAGCUAACUAGGAAUAAUUCUAACCUAGUUAGAUAGUGACUUAUGAGUGGGUUAAAACACUUAAAUUAUGAACUAAGGAAAAUGAAGGGGCCAAAGAUGUUAAAAUCGAAACUUAUGUUGCUAAUUUAAUUAAAACAAAAACCAAACACCCCAUUUGGGGAUGUCUGGUCGUACAAAGAAGCAGGAGGCGAUGGGUUUCUUCAAACCCUAAAAUCCUUACUAAAACUCUCAAAUUGGAGGUGCAAAUCUGGUCCAAAACGAAAAUCGAGCAUAGAUUACCGAUCCCCAUUGCAAGGGGGUUGUAAGUUUGACUCUUGACAAGCUAGAUGGAGGCUUGGAAUGAAGCGGGUCAAACGGAGCAAGUAUGAAAAGGAAAGCGUAAUUUGGAUGCGAGUCUUAGGUACUCAAGGAUUAUGGGUGACGAUCAAGCAACUUUUGAAGGACCGAACACAUACUCUUGAAGCUUCCGCAUAAAUCAACUCGGUUUAAACAAUGUUUAUGAUAUAAACUGUUUGCUAAACAACUUUUGAAAUGUUUAAACGACGUACUCAAUUAUGUUAUGUUGUAUUAUUUUAAAAUUGUAAAGUUUAAACAAACCCGUAUUUUUACAAAGUAUAUGUAGUCAUAAUUACAUGUUGUUUGUCGUA